rnacentral:rRNA from 1 species
GGAUAACCUGCCCUUGGGUCCGGCAUAACCCCGGGAAACUGGGGAUAAUUCCGGAUAACGCACAUAUGCUGGAAUGCUUUAUGCGUCAAAUGGAUUCGUCUGCCCAAGGAUGGGUCUGCGGCCUAUCAGGUAGUAGUGGGUGUAAUGUACCUACUAGCCGACGACGGGUACGGGUUGUGAGAGCAAGAGCCCGGAGAUGGAUUCUGAGACAUGAAUCCAGGCCCUACGGGGCGCAGCAGGCGCGAAAACUUUACAAUGCGGGAAACCGUGAUAAGGGGACACCGAGUGCCAGCGUCAUACGCUGGCUGUCCAGGUGUGUAAAAUACACCUGUUAGCAAGGGCCGGGCAAGACCGGUGCCAGCCGCCGCGGUAACACCGGCGGCCCGAGUGGUGAUCGUGAUUAUUGGGUCUAAAGGGUCCGUAGCCGGUUUGGUCAGUCCUCCGGGAAAUCUGAUAGCUCAACUGUUAGGCUUUCGGGGGAUACUGCCAGACUUGGAACCGGGAGAGGUAAGAGGUACUACAGGGGUAGGAGUGAAAUCUUGUAAUCCCUGUGGGACCACCUGUGGCGAAGGCGUCUUACCAGAACGGGUUCGACGGUGAGGGACGAAAGCUGGGGGCACGAACCGGAUUANAUACCCGGGUAGUCCCAGCCGUAAACGAUGCUCGCUAGGUGUCAGGCAUGGCGCGACCGUGUCUGGUGGCCGCAGGGNAANCCNUGAAACGAGCCACCUNGGGAAGUACNGCCGCAAGGCUGAAACUUAA